rnacentral:rRNA from 1 species
CGCCCGCCGCGCCCCGCGCCCGGCCCGCCGCCCCCGCCCCCCUACGGGAGGCAGCAGUGAGGAAUAUUGGUCAAUGGGCGAGAGCCUGAACCAGCCAAGUCGCGUGAAGGAAGAAGGAUCUAUGGUUCGUAAACUUCUUUUGCAGGGGAAUAAAGUGCAGGACGUGUCCUGUUUUGUAUGUACCCUGAGAAUAAGGAUCGGCUAACUCCGUGCCAGCAGCCGCGGUAAUACGGAGGAUCCGAGCGUUAUCCGGAUUUAUUGGGUUUAAAGGGUGCGUAGGUGGUUUGAUAAGUCAGCGGUGAAAGUUUGCAGCUUAACUGUAAAAAUGCCGUUGAAACUGUCGGACUUGAGUGUAAAUGAGGUAGGCGGAAUGCGUGGUGUAGCGGUGAAAUGCAUAGAUAUCACGCAGAACUCCGAUUGCGAAGGCAGCUUACUAAGCUACAACUGACACUGAAGCACGAA